AGUGAACGCUGGCGGUAGGCCUAACACAUGCCAGUCGAACGGCAGCACAGUAAGGGCUUGCUCUUACGGGUGGCGAGUGGCGGACGGGUGAGGAAUACAUCGGAAUCUACUUUUUCGUGGGGGAUAACGUAGGGAAACUUACGCUAAUACCGCAUACGACCUACGGGUGAAAGCAGGGGAUCUUCGGACCUUGCGCGAUUGAAUGAGCCGAUGUCGGAUUAGCUAGUUGGCGGGGCAAAGGCCCACCAAGGCGACGAUCCGUAGCUGGUCUGAGAGGAUGAUCAGCCACACUGGAACUGGGACACGGUCCAGACUCCUACGGGAGGCAGCAGUGGGGAAUAUUGGACAAUGGGCGCAAGCCUGAUCCAGCCAUACCGCGUGGGUGAAGAAGGCCUUCGGGUUGUAAAGCCCUUUUGUUGGGAAAGAAAAGCAGCAGGUUAAUACCCCGCUGUUCUGACGGUACCCAAAGAAUAAGCACCGGCUAACUUCGUG
rnacentral:rRNA from 1 species